rnacentral:rRNA from 1 species
AUGUUUGGUGAUUGUCUAUUUGAGCUUACAAACCUUAUGCGUGCCAAAGGAGAUGUUGGAAUUAUUAGUGAUAUUAUUUCCGAAGCUAUAAAAAUUCAUAAACAAGAUCAUUGUCAAACUCACUCUAACGAAUCACCCUCUCUAGGAUUUGAUCCACCACAUGACGAUGUUGAACAUGGAUACUAUGACGAGGAUAAUGAUAGUGACUUUGAUCUUGAUGAUGCAACGAGACACUUUGGUCUAAUGGCAAAUCAUCGGGGAUAUAUGGCAGGAGGAAAGGAAUGGGUUCUUGAUAGUGGAUGUAUCGAUCACAUGACCGGAGAUAAAGAUAUGUUUCGUGAGCUUGCUGAAAACGAUGGUCCUCGAAAGUAUGUCACUUUUGGUGAUAACUCAAAGGGUAAGGUGGUUGGUCUCGGUAAGGUGGCCAUAUCACAUGAUAGCUCCAUACAAAAUGUCAUGCUCGUUGAAUCUCUUGGCUACAACUUACUUUCAGUAUCUAGACUUGCUGAUUUCGGUUUCAAUGUCCUAUUUACUGAAGUAGAUUGCCAAGUGUUUCGUAGAGAUAAUCAUUAA